rnacentral:lncRNA from 1 species
GAAUGUGAACUUUGAAUUCAGCCUAUAAUUUGAAUCUUGGCAUCAAUAUUCCUCUGAUUGAUGACUUUGGACCGUGCUCCCAUGAUGAAGGGGUACCAGCACCCACAGAGGGAGUUUCAGGAAAGCUAUUUGAUCCAUAACAACAAAGGCCAUGGUUCCCAAGGAAAGAAUGCUCCCUUCAAAGCAGUUGCAUCAAGGAGGAAAGAAUUUUACCCUAUGAACUCAGAAGAGUGUGUGUUCUAAAUAUUUCAUGUUUCACAUCCAGGGGUUUUGGUGGACUUUUUAGGACAAUUUAUUUUAUGGUUCUAUCAUCAUACCAUUUCUAAUGCUGAAAAGCAGGAAAUUAGGAAACAUCCAUUUCAAAUGCUUGAAAAGUAAGAAGUUCCAGCUGAGCACGGUGGCUCACACCUGUAAUCCUAGGACUUUGGGAGUCUGAGGAGGGAGGAUCAUGAGCUCAGGAGUUCAAUACCAGCCUGGCCAACAUGGUGAAACCUCAUCUCUACUAAAAAUACAAAAAAAAAUUAGCCAGGCUUGGUGGCGGGUGCCUGUAAUCCCAGCUACUAGAGAGGCAGAGGCAGGAGAGUUGCUUGUACCCAGGAGGUGGAGGUUGCAG